UAUGGAGGGGGCUAGCGUUGUUCGGAAUUACUGGGCGUAAAGCGCGCGUAGGCGGAUCUGCAAGUCGGGGGUGAAAUCCCGAGGCUCAACCUCGGAACUGCCUUCGAUACUGGAUGUCUUGAGUUCGGGAGAGGUGAGUGGAAUGCCGAGUGUAGAGGUGAAAUUCGUAGAUAUUCGGCGGAACACCAGUGGCGAAGGCGACUCACUGGCCCGAUACUGACGCUGAUGCGCGAAAGCGUGGGGAGCAAACAGG
rnacentral:rRNA from 1 species